AACGCUAGCGGCAGGCUUAACACAUGCAAGUCGAGGGGCAACACGGGUAGCAAUACCUGGUGGCGACCGGCGCAAGGGUGCGUAACGCGUGAGCAACAUGCCCUAUACAGGGGGAUAAUCCAGGGAAACUUGGUCUAAUAUCCCAUAGUAUUUAGAGGAGGCAUCUUCUAUAAAUUAAAGCUUCGGUGGUAUAGGAUUGGCUCGCGUGACAUUAGCUAGAUGGUGAGGUAACGGCUCACCAUGGCAAUGAUGUCUAGGGGUUCUGAGAGGAAGGCCCCCCACACUGGGACUGAGACACGGCCCAGACUCCUACGGGAGGCAGCAGUGAGGAAUAUUGGACAAUGGAUGGAAAUCUGAUCCAGCCAUGCCGCGUGCAGGAAGACAGCCCUAUGGGUUGUAAACUGCUUUUAUAUGGGAGCAAUAAGGUCUACGUGUAGACUGAUGAGAGUACCAUAUGAAUAAGCAUCGGCUAACUCCGUG
rnacentral:rRNA from 1 species